GAAACUGAGGCCCAGAGCGGCUAAGGGACUUGCUAGCGAAAAUGGGUCAUCCUUCGGCGUUCAGCGAUGAUUCCGCAUUUGAGAAUCCUCCUCCCGCUCCCGUCCCCGCGGCCCUGACUUGCUCCGUUCAUUCAUCCCCCGCCCCCAGCCCCCCGGCACUCGCGUCCAGAUCUGUCCUUUAUUUAUUUCUAUCCUCGUCUGUCCUCCCCUGCGGACCGGGAAUGCGUCCGUCUGUUGUUCUCCUGUCCUCUCCCCAGCACUCGGGACGGUGCUUUGCACGCAAUAUGCGUUCAAGAAACACGCCCGAGUGGAGAAAGGAGGCGCUUACCCCCAGAUCCACCCAUCGAUCCUAAUCCCGCACCGUCCAAAUGAUGAACGGGAGGUAACGACCGCCGGUAACCAAGUCUCCUCCACGGGGGUCGGCUGCUCGCGGCUUCUUUAACGGCACGCUGCCGGCCCACGACAAUCGGGGUGGGAAGACGACCGUACGGCCGCGGGAGGAACGUCCAAGAAAACCCCGACGGGACCGAUUCCGGAUCCAGGUUGCCGCGGGACGCCCUCCUCGGCGGGUUCCCAUCCCUCCGGGCGGCAGAUCUCGCCCACGGUGCCGUCAAGAUGUCGGAACGUCACUGGACACUUGGGCCGAGAGACACGGGCCCGGUAAUACCGUGAAAUGUUUCGAAAAACAACUCUGAAAACGCGCCUCUGAGAACAAAACCGCCAACCAACCAUUAACCGGAGGAGGUACGGCUUUAGUUUCCAAAAGGUCGACAGCGAACACGUACGUAUACUGCGUCGAUUAUCAACAGCCCUCUCUUCGACACGCUCCGCCACGGGCCCGAGGCGGCCGACGAGGCGCCCGGUCAGUCGAUCGUAUUUAUUGAGCGCUUCCUUGGGCGGGGCACCGUGCCAACCGCCUGGCAGGGUACAGUCGGACAGUAAACAGGCUGCGUACCGUACGCUUGUCGCGGCCAGGGAACGGGACUAUCGGUCUAUCUACCUAUCCAUCUGCCUGUAAUUAAUUGAGGAAAAUUUCCACACUAUCCACAUGGAGACCUUGGAAAUUCUCCUUCGUGCUCCCGGCUAAACGCGGCAUUUCGCACCGCUUAGGCCGGCCUCCUGCUUUCGCUGAAUCCGGGCUUCUCCUCUAUCUACCCAUCUAUAGACCUAAAGAUCUUUAGGCCCGUAGAUUCGACGUAAUCUACAGAUCUACGCAUCUACAGAUAGGCAGACAGACGGACGGAAGCAGACACUAGGGAAAUUCUCCUUGGUUAAUCAGACUCUCCUCCCUGCUGGGACCGGCCUCCCGUUCAUGCCGAAUCCCAGAUCCUCCUCUGUUUCCGUAUAGGUAUAUCGGAAUCUCGGAUGUAGAUGUAUCCGUAGACAGACAGAUAUAGAUACUACGGAAAUUUCCUUUCAUCGAUAUCACCGUUCCCGGAUAAAGUGGCGUCUCGCUCCGCUUGGACCAGCCUCCCAUUUACGUGAAAUUUGAGAUUCUCCUCUAUCUAGAGAUACAGAUCUGUAGACAUCCGGUAUGUCUAAAUCUAGAUGUACAUAGAUAUAUAUAGCGAGAUAUAGAUGUAUCGGCUAUCUACAGAUCUAUCGGAAUCGCGGCUGUAGAUCUAGCUAUAGACAGAGAGGCAUAAAUACCACGGAAAUUUUC